rnacentral:misc_RNA from 1 species
GAGCAGGAGGAGGAGGAGGAGGAGGCAGUGGGGAUGGGAAGUAGUAGAAAAACUGAGUUAUACUUUGUUUUCAUGAAUUACGAUCCAGAGUAUGAGCGCCUUCGAGCUGAUCGGUCAGUUGUCCAUAUUAUCAGUCUGAGUUACAAUUAACAAAGAUAAUGCUAGCUGAUGCUCUAGAUCUCUAAUGUUGUUCUUUUCUUGAUGUUGACGAUUGUCUAUAAUAGAACAAGGCGAGGGGUAUAUGAGCUUGAUUCGUACCUGAGUAGAAAGCAUGACCAGUUAUUGGCAAACACCCUUGAGCAUGGCAGCUACAAGAAGACACUAUCUUUGGUCAUUGUAGAUGGGUUCGGAGUAGAGAUCACAGAAGACCAGGUGAUCCUCAUUAAAGCUAUUGUUUUUGCAGCCUUUUCUUUUACUUAAUUUUUGAGAAGUCUCUAUCUUUCUCUCUCUCGAUCUACAUCCCAAAAGAGUAACUGGGGUUUUAUAUUCCCUUUAAAUUUCUGCUUGUCAUUUUUUGUUUUUCAAAAACAGGCCAAUGUGCUUAGAUCUGCCAACGGAGUGAGGGUUGUGGAGAAGAAUCAAGAGGUUUCUUAGACUUAAGAUACGUAGCCAGAGAAGAGAAUGAAGUAAUAUCGACUGAAAGUGGUGUAAUAAUAAUGAGUUUGUAAAGUCUUUUGUAAAUGCCAUCAAGUUUGGUGGUAUGUAGACUAUGAGGCUGAGAGUUAUCUCAACUCAUAAUCAGUUUAAUUAAAAUGAUCGACUUCCGGCCGUUUUAAUUUUAUGUACAGUAUUGGUGGAUUUUUCUUUAUUUCUUCAUUUUUUUUCCUUAUUUAUUUCUUCUGCUGAGUUUUAUAAGGAGACAGUGCUAUCCUCGCUUUCACUGGAACAGG